UUCCGGUUGAUCCCGCCGGAGGUUACUGCUAUCGGUGUUCGCCUAAGCCAUGCGAGUCAUAUGUAGCAAUACAUGGCGUACUGCUCAGUAACACGUGGAUAACCUGCCCUUGGGUCCGGCAUAACCCCGGGAAACUGGGGAUAAUUCCGGAUAACGCACAUAUGCUGGAAUGCUUUAUGCGUCAAAUGGAUUCGUCUGCCCAAGGAUGGGUCUGCGGCCUAUCAGGUAGUAGUGGGUGUAAUGUACCUACUAGCCGACAACGGGUACGGGUUGUGAGAGCAAGAGCCCGGAGAUGGAUUCUGAGACAUGAAUCCAGGCCCUACGGGGCGCAGCAGGCGCGAAAACUUUACAAUGCGGGAAACCGUGAUAAGGGGACACCGAGUGUCAGCAUCAUAUGCUGGCUGUCCAGGUGUGUAAAAUACACCUGUUAGCAAGGGCCGGGCAAGACCGGUGCCAGCCGCCGCGGUAACACCGGCGGCCCGAGUGGUGAUCGUGAUUAUUGGGUCUAAAGGGUCCGUAGCCGGUUUGGUCAGUCCUCCGGGAAAUCUGAUAGCUCAACUAUUAGGCUAUCGGGGGAUACUGCCAGGCUUGGAACCGGGAGAGGUAAGAGGUACUACAGGGGUAGGAGUGAAAUCUUGUAAUCCCUGUGGGACCACCUGUGGCGAAGGCGUCUUACCAGAACGGGUUCGACGGUGAGGGACGAAAGCUGGGGGCACGAACCGGAUUAGAUACCCGGGUAGUCCCAGCCGUAAACGAUGCUCGCUAGGUGUCAGGCAUGGCGCGACCGUGUCUGGUGCCGCAGGGAAGCCGUGAAGCGAGCCACCUGGGAAGUACGGCCGCAGGCUGAACUUAAAGGAAUUGGCGGGGGAGCAC
rnacentral:rRNA from 1 species